UACGUAGGGUGCAAGCGUUGUCCGGAAUUAUUGGGCGUAAAGAGCUCGUAGGCGGUUUGUCGCGUCGGCUGUGAAAGCCCGGAGCUCAACUCCGGGUCUGCAGUCGAUACGGGCAGACUUGAGUGUUGCAGGGGAGACUGGAAUUCCUGGUGUAGCGGUGAAAUGCGCAGAUAUCAGGAGGAACACCGGUGGCGAAGGCGGGUCUCUGGGCAGUAACUGACGCUGGAGGAGCGAAAGCGUGGGGAGCGAACAGG
rnacentral:rRNA from 1 species